rnacentral:rRNA from 1 species
UGGGGAAUAUUGCACAAUGGGGGAAACCCUGAUGCAGCGACGCCGCGUGAGCGAAGAAGGUUUUCGAAUCGUAAAGCUCUGUCCUAUGGGAAGAUAAUGACGGUACCAUAGGAGGAAGCCCCGGCUAACUACGUGCCAGCAGCCGCGGUAAUACGUAGGGGGCAAGCGUUGUCCGGAAUCACUGGGCGUAAAGGGUUCGCAGGCGGAAAUGCAAGUCAGCUGUGAAAGGCAGAGGCUCAACCUCUGUAAGCAAUUGAAACUGUAUUUCUUGAGAUGUGGAGAGGCAAGUGGAAUUCCUAGUGUAGCGGUGAAAUGCGUAGAUAUUAGGAAGAAUACCGGUGGCGAAGGCGACUUGCUGGACACAAACUGACGCUGAGGAACGAAAGCGUGGGUAGCAAACAGG